GGGUUAGUAGGUUGGUCAUGCCUCUGGUAUGUACUGGUCUCACUGAUUCCUCCUUCCUGAUGAGCCGUAAUGCCAUUAAUUUGGUGUUGCGGGGAAAUUGGACUGUUACUUUGAAAAAAUUAGAGUGUUUAAAGCAGGCAUUUUUGCUUGAAUACAUUAGCAUGGAAUAAUGAAAUAGGACGUUCGAUCCUAUUUUGUUGGUUUCUAGGAUUGACGUA
rnacentral:rRNA from 1 species